rnacentral:rRNA from 1 species
AGCGAACGCUGGCGGCAGGCCUAACACAUGCAAGUCGAACGAACCUUUCGGGGUUAGUGGCGGACGGGUGAGUAACACGUGGGAACGUGCCUUUAGGUUCGGAAUAACUCAGGGAAACUUGUGCUAAUACCGAAUGUGCCCUUCGGGGGAAAGAUUUAUCGCCUUUAGAGCGGCCCGCGUCUGAUUAGCUAGUUGGUUGAGGUAAUGGCGCACCAAGGCGACGAUCAGUAGCUGGUCUGAGAGGAUGAUCAGCCACAUUGGGACUGAGACACGGCCCAAACUCCUACGGGAGGCAGCAGUGGGGAAUCUUGCGCAAUGCGCGAAAGUCUGACGCAGCCAUGCCGCGUGAAUGAUGAAGGUCUUAGGAUUGUAAAAUUCUUUCACCGGGGACGAUAAUGACGGUACCCGGAGAAGAAGCCCCGGCUAACUUCGUG